rnacentral:lncRNA from 1 species
UAGGAGUGAGCCGCAUCUGGAGAAACUGGGUCCUGCGUCUCACACGAUGCCUGUGGCCAUUUUUUCAGAGGAGUCAAAGUGGGAAACACAGGAGCAGAGGGCAGGUCCCACUCCAGGAUGAAAAGGAGUCAAGCCUGACUCUGGAUACUCAAGCUUGCUUAGAGCUUUUGAAGAUGGAUGUAAGGGAAUCCAUGGUCAACCAUCUUGUGCGAUCCUUGCUUCAAGGGAACUGUUUGUUCCUGCACAAGUUUUUGCAAAACUACCAAGAUUUGGGACCAUGCAGCAGGAGCUGGAUCUGCUGUUGAAAAGCCCAGGCAGCAGCACCAGUGCCAGGUCCAACUGGAGAGCGAGAGGCAGCUCCAGCAGCAGCCUCUAAGCCAGCAGUAGAUCCACCACCCAUUCUGGGGCAAGAGUUGGCUGCAGUGCCAGCUCCAUGGCCAGGUGCACCUAGAAAGCUACCUUGGGUUAUUCCAAAGAAGAAGCAGACUGGAACUGAGACUCUGGAGCUGGAGCCAGCCACAGCAGGCCCACUUCUACCAGUGGUGCCAUCCUGGCCUUCACCUAUGACCAUGAAAACCAGGGAUUCCACCUGGUUGCAGCAGGGCAAAAAGGCCAAGGAGCAGCUGCCGGCCUCCAUCUGCACCACUGUCAUUCAUCUCCCAAGUGUGUCAUCAGCACCGUCCUCAGGCACUACAUCAUGAAAGCCUCAGGCCAUGCCCAGGUGGUGGAGCACAGGGUCUCCAGGGACCCUCAGGAGUGCCAAAUUCUGAGGAACCGUGCCUCUCUCUCUGGGCUGUGAAUCAGCGUUAUCCAGUGCCUGAUGGAAACCUGGCAAGACUUCUCCAGGUGGCUGCACCUCUCCAUUGGAGCUCCAGGUGAACCAGCACCAUAAACUGGACAAAAUAUGUGCAGAACUUGUCUGUGAAGGUAGAAAUGUCUAGAAUGUAUUUUAUAAAGUUCCCC